rnacentral:snoRNA from 1 species
AAAAUUAUACUUCCAGGGGUCAUUUCUACAGUUCAUUUCUAGAGAAAUUUCUCUAAAUGGAUGGAAAAAGAAAACAGGUAUGU